UCUUGAGAGUAUUUGAGAGAAAAAAGUAUAUUUUGGUGAAAAUAGGGUUGAAUCUCGUGUUUCUGGGGUUAUAUAGGGUGGAAAAAUGACCCUUUUACCCUCAAGAGUUCGGGGCUGAAGUGCUGGAAAUUUGGCCCCGAGGGAGUUGCAAGGGCGGCGCCCUACUAAAUCCGGGGAGAUAGCCAGGGCGGCGCCCUACUUACUCCAGCGGACUUCCCAGGGCGACACGGGUUUAUCGCCCCGAGCUACUGGUUUGAGCAACCAAACAUGCCCGUAUACUAUUCCAAAAAUUACAAAACUCACUCGAGAUGUACUAUUGACUUGCCCCAUUGUAACGCAACUUGUAAAUUA
rnacentral:lncRNA from 1 species